AAGAAUAAGAAAUACACACUAAGGGAGUCAAAAUUAAAGUACUUGAAAGACAGGCAAAUAUAAGCCCUGCAGUAUGAGGUCAUAAGCCCUGCAGUAUGAGGUCACAAAACAGGAGAUGGUGUCUGAGGAACUCUCUGAAAAUAUUUGCAAGUGACAGAAGCAUACACGGAGUCAAUUCUCUGCUGGCCUCUGUAGAGAGCACUGAGAAUUGACUGAGCAACUUUUACAAAUGUGGGUUCACACAGUAUUUCCUAUAACCCAGUGUUAAGAGAUCGACCAUAAAGUGAAAACCUGCAUCAAAAAGAACAUGCAGAAGAGAGGAUGGCUGAAGAUUUCUAAAGAAAACCCAAAUGCAGUGCAUUGAAAAGGAUACAUUUUAAUACCUCAACAAGAGUUGGGAUCUCUAAAAUGUUGGCAGUAUCAGUGGAUUUUACAGGUUGUGAGGGCCAUCAACUUAAUCCUGCUGCAGAAGAUCAUCCAUCUGGGAGACCUAGACCCAAUCGUGGCUGGAUUUGCUGCCCUGGGGUUCCCGAACUGUACCGGAGCCUCUGGCCGGGUGGUGACAGGGGUCUCCAGGCCGGAGUCCAUGAGGACAGGUAGUGACAAGGGCAGCUGCAGCAUGCGCAACCUUCCACUUUGACAUUCCACAAAUGCAAGAGAGUAAGGCAAGAAAGAACCUCUGCUCUGUCUGGGAAGACACAGCUGGAAAAAAGCAACUCUUUAGGAGACAGCAAUAAAAUAUAUUUGUAGUAUAUGCAGGUAAUUAAAGAACUGCUGCUUAAUCCUGCCCAUAGAUUUAAUAGUGUCUAAAAGAUUUUAAAUAAGUUAGGGACGUUUUAACAUUCCUCUGAGAGAUGAGUCCAUGUUCAACCUUGAAUUGCAUAAUUAAAAAUCUCUUUGAUCUGCAAGACCCAGAAAAUUGAUUAUAGUAAAUUACAGUCAGAAUAGCCGACCACUUGAUGCUAUGAAUAAUGCAGGAAGACUUCAAGACCAAGAGAUUUACCAUGUCUGGAUAUUGUAAGUGCACAGAGAAAUGGCAGCUGUAGUCACAUAAAACAGAAGCACCUGCUAAGCAAGAACAGGAAUGAUAUGUGAUUCUCCACCUCAUUUAAAAUCAUGUUUAGUGGCACCAUUCACAGAGUUUUAGCACUAACGUGAAUGUUGUACAGGCUUAGAAAAUGAAAACUAAGCUUGUUUGAGGGUCCAUAAAACCCUCCAUAAAACAAAAUUCAAGCUGAAAAACAUUUAAAAAAAGAGUAGAUACUGUAAAUUGAAGGUUAAAAGGGUUAGAUAUGUAUAGACUUUAAUGUGAUUCAAAGGGAUAGUUUGCAUUAACUGUUCAUACUAGAUCAAGAAAAGGGUAAGGUACCUAAAAAUAAAUUGAUCUAGGAGAGAGAAACACAACCUAUUGUGACUUCAGUGUCACUGUAUUCAUUUAUUUACAUUACAUGUUGCACAUAUUAGUACUGUAGUAUGCACCAGCAUAGCAAAAUUAAAUCUCAAUGUGCAAAGAACAGGAAGAACCGUUUCUUUAAUAAAUAAAUCACUUUAAUAGCUUUAGUAGUUAAUUCAGAUUAGAUCCCUACUGCUAGCCUUCCCUUCUGCCACCCAAAAUAUCAUUGUAUCAUGUGACUAUUGCAGCAUCCCAGAGAAGAUUACAAUUCCUAAUUCUGAUGAACCAAGAGGAAUGAUGCUGGGGAAUGAGGAGUAGUCAGUUUCAAAGCUAAGGUUGUCUCACUGAUAAUGCCUAACCAUUGACCAUUUCUAAUGUAGACCAAUGGGAUUUUACCUCAGCUGCUCACACCUGCAUUAUAUCACAUGAGGAGAGCAUUAGGCUUUAAGUCCCAAACCAUUAUGAGUCUGCAUAUAUGCGUACAUAUAAAACACAAUUAGAGAAAACACCACCAAUGUCCCAAACGUCUGUCAGCAAGUCAGUGGCCACAACAAGCCAAAAGAGCUUCAGUGUCCUAUAGAAAGCUGUACUGCUUUAUGCAAUGAUAGGAACAUUCUCUAAUCCAAGUUUGAGGUGUGAAAAGCAUAGAUGACUAUGGCAAUAUGUGAGGGAAGUGGUGCAUAUGGGAUACAGACCUUAUAGACACUUGAAUUCUUUUUCAUUCUUAGAAGCAUAGAACAGGAAGGGACCUCAAGAGGUCAUUGAGUACAUUUUUCUGACCUCACAGCAGGACCA